UUUAUGGAGAGUUUGAUCCUGGCUCAGGAUGAACGCUGGCGGCGUGCCUAAUACAUGCAAGUCGAGCGAACGGACGAGAAGCUUGCUUCUCUGAUGUUAGCGGCGGACGGGUGAGUAACACGUGGAUAACCUACCUAUAAGACUGGGAUAACUUCGGGAAACCGGAGCUAAUACCGGAUAAUAUUUUGAACCGCAUGGUUCAAAAGUGAAAGACGGUCUUGCUGUCACUUAUAGAUGGAUCCGCGCUGCAUUAGCUAGUUGGUAAGGUAACGGCUUACCAAGGCAACGAUGCAUAGCCGACCUGAGAGGGUGAUCGGCCACACUGGAACUGAGACACGGUCCAGACUCCUACGGGAGGCAGCAGUAGGGAAUCUUCCGCAAUGGGCGAAAGCCUGACGGAGCAACGCCGCGUGAGUGAUGAAGGUCUUCGGAUCGUAAAACUCUGUUAUUAGGGAAGAACAUAUGUGUAAGUAACUGUGCACAUCUUGACGGUACCUAAUCAGAAAGCCACGGCUAACUACGUGCCAGCAGCCGCGGUAAUACGUAGGUGGCAAGCGUUAUCCGGAAUUAUUGGGCGUAAAGCGCGCGUAGGCGGUUUUUUAAGUCUGAUGUGAAAGCCCACGGCUCAACCGUGGAGGGUCAUUGGAAACUGGAAAACUUGAGUGCAGAAGAGGAAAGUGGAAUUCCAUGUGUAGCGGUGAAAUGCGCAGAGAUAUGGAGGAACACCAGUGGCGAAGGCGACUUUCUGGUCUGUAACUGACGCUGAUGUGCGAAAGCGUGGGGAUCAAACAGGAUUAGAUACCCUGGUAGUCCACGCCGUAAACGAUGAGUGCUAAGUGUUAGGGGGUUUCCGCCCCUUAGUGCUGCAGCUAACGCAUUAAGCACUCCGCCUGGGGAGUACGACCGCAAGGUUGAAACUCAAAGGAAUUGACGGGGACCCGCACAAGCGGUGGAGCAUGUGGUUUAAUUCGAAGCAACGCGAAGAACCUUACCAAAUCUUGACAUCCUUUGACAACUCUAGAGAUAGAGCCUUCCCCUUCGGGGGACAAAGUGACAGGUGGUGCAUGGUUGUCGUCAGCUCGUGUCGUGAGAUGUUGGGUUAAGUCCCGCAACGAGCGCAACCCUUAAGCUUAGUUGCCAUCAUUAAGUUGGGCACUCUAAGUUGACUGCCGGUGACAAACCGGAGGAAGGUGGGGAUGACGUCAAAUCAUCAUGCCCCUUAUGAUUUGGGCUACACACGUGCUACAAUGGACAAUACAAAGGGCAGCGAAACCGCGAGGUCAAGCAAAUCCCAUAAAGUUGUUCUCAGUUCGGAUUGUAGUCUGCAACUCGACUACAUGAAGCUGGAAUCGCUAGUAAUCGUAGAUCAGCAUGCUACGGUGAAUACGUUCCCGGGUCUUGUACACACCGCCCGUCACACCACGAGAGUUUGUAACACCCGAAGCCGGUGGAGUAACCUUUUAGGAGCUAGCCGUCGAAGGUGGGACAAAUGAUUGGGGUGAAGUCGUAACAAGGUAGCCGUAUCGGAAGGUGCGGCUGGAUCACCUCCUUUC
rnacentral:rRNA from 1 species